UACGUAGGUGGCAAGCGUUAUCCGGAAUUAUUGGGCGUAAAGCGCGCGUAGGCGGUUUUUUAAGUCUGAUGUGAAAGCCCACGGCUCAACCGUGGAGGGUCAUUGGAAACUGGAAAACUUGAGUGCAGAAGUGGAAAGUGGAAUUCCAUGUGUAGCGGUGAAAUGCGCAGAGAUAUGGAGGAACACCAGUGGCGAAGGCGACUUUCUGGUCUGUAACUGACGCUGAUGUGCGAAAGCGUGGGGAUCAAACAGGAUUAGAUA
rnacentral:rRNA from 1 species